rnacentral:rRNA from 1 species
UGGGGAAUUUUGGGACAAUGGGGCGAAAGCCUGAUCCAGCAAUGCCGCGUGUGUGAAGAAGGCCUUCGGGUUGUAAAGCACUUUUGUCCGGAAAGAAAAUCCUUGGCUCUAAUACAGUCGGGGGAUGACGGUACCGGAAGAAUAAGCACCGGCUAACUACGUGCCAGCAGCCGCGGUAAUACGUAGGGUGCAAGCGUUAAUCGGAAUUACUGGGCGUAAAGCGUGCGCAGGCGGUUUGCUAAGACCGAUGUGAAAUCCCGGGCUCAACCUGGGAACUGGCAUUGGUGCAGNUGGCAGGCUAGAGUAUGGCAGAGGGGGGUGAGAAUUCCACGUGUAGCAGUGAAAUGCGUAGAGAUGUGGAGGAAUACCGAUGGCGAAGGCAGUCCCCCUGGGCCAAUACUGACGCUCAUGCACGAAAAGCGUGGGGAGCAAACAGGAUU